CCUUAAUGUGUUUUUCAGCCUCUGCUUCAGUUGGCGACGGAAGCACGGGAUUCUUCAUAGCUGCUCCUGCAUGUUAAAAGUCUACUUCGAAAACUGGGCUGGUCAGAUUCAAGGAAUCGACUCUUUUGGAGUCGACUCCUCAUCAGUACUGCGCAUGUGCUUACAAAUCAUCACAUCGACGCGCACGUGGAAGUGAUCGCCGCGGGAAAACUGAGUUUGUCUAGUUCCUCCAUGGUUGUGAGAGGGAAGACAUCAUCCUCGCUGUCCACCACUGGAGCACUGGAAUGGUUGUUUGCUGCAAGG